rnacentral:rRNA from 1 species
CCUACGGGAGGCAGCAGUGGGGAAUUUUGGACAAUGGGGGCAACCCUGAUCCAGCCAUGCCGCGUGAGCGAAGAAGGCCUUCGGGUUGUAAAGCUCUUUCGGACGGAAAGAAAUUGCCAUCUCUAACAUAGGUGGUGGAUGACGGUACCGUAAGAAGAAGCACCGGCUAACUACGUGCCAGCAGCCGCGGUAAUACGUAGGGGGCGAGCGUUAAUCGGAAUUACUGGGCGUAAAGCGUGCGCAGGCGGUUUUGUAAGACAGGCGUAAAAUCCCCGGGCUAAACCGGGGAACUGCGUUGGGGACUGCAAGGCUAGAGUGCGGCAGAGGGGGGUAGAAUUCCACGUGUAGCAGUGAAAUGCGUAGAGAUGUGGAGGAAUCCCGAUGGCGAAGGCGGCCCCCUGG